rfam:Dipodomys ordii contig_42498, whole genome shotgun sequence.
UGGCUCAGUGGUAGAGUGCUUGCCUUGCAUGCAUGAGACCCUGGGUUCAAUUCCUCAG